UACAGAGGGGGCAAGCGUUGUUCGGAUUUACUGGGCGUAAAGCGCACGUAGGCGGAUCGUUAAGUCGGGGGUGAAAUCCUGGAGCUCAACUCCAGAACUGCCUUCGAUACUGGCGAUCUUGAGUCCGGAAGAGGUGAGUGGAACUCCUAGUGUAGAGGUGGAAUUCGUAGAUAUUAGGAAGAACACCAGUGGCGAAGGCGGCUCACUGGCUCGAUACUGACGCUGAGGUGCGAAAGCGUGGGGAGCAGACAGG
rnacentral:rRNA from 1 species